CGGGGACGGGUGGGUNAUGUNCAAACGCUGAUGGAGAGAUUACUACUGGAAACGUAGCUAUANCGGAUACGUCGCAGACCAAGAGGGGACCUUCGGGCCUCUUGCCAUCAGAUGUGCCAGAUGGGAUUAGCUAGUAGUGGGGUAACGGCUCACCUAGGCGACGAUCCCUAGCUGGUCUGAGAGGAUGACCAGCCACACUGGAACUGAGACACGGUCCAGACUCCUACGGGAGGCAGCAGUGGGGAAUAUUGCACAAUGGGCGCAAGCCUGAUGCAGCCAUGCCGCGUGUAUGAAGAAGGCCUUCGGGUUGUAAAGUACUUUCAGCGGGGAGGAAGGUGUUGUGGUUAAAUAACCACAGCAAUUGACGUUACCCGCAAAAAAGCACCGGCUAACUCGUGCCACAGCCGCGGUAAUACGAAGGGUGCAAACGUUAAUCGGAAUUACUGGGGCGUAAAGCGCACGCAGGCGGUCUGUCAAGUCGGGAUUGUGAAAUCCCCGGGCUCAAACCUGGGAACUGCUUUCGAAACUUGGGCAGGCUAAAAGUUCUUGGUAAAGGGGGGUAAAAUUCCCAGGGUGUUAGGUGAAAUGGUAAAAAUUCUG
rnacentral:rRNA from 1 species